rnacentral:lncRNA from 1 species
GUGAAACCAUUCAUAAUGUGGUUAGACUUGGUCAGAAGAUUAGGUAUACCUAAUCUUUUGACCAAGUCUAACCACAUUACAUGCUUUAAACUGCUAUUGUAAAACAAACUUUUUGCAAAAACUCUAAAAACACAGCUCUCUACAUUAUACGCAUCAUUCUCAUUUGGAAAAACACUGCCAUUUAAAUGCCACACUCAUUAAAUGAUGACCUUCAGCCAGUGAUCAUUUGUGAAAACACACAGAAUUCGUUCACUUAGAAAUCAAAACUCAGUUUUGAGAAAGAUUUUUUUACCCCCUUGCAUUUCUGUUUACAUUGUAUAUAUAUAUAUGUAUAUCUAUAUACUGUGUGUGUGUGUGUGUGUGUGUGUGUGUGUGCGCACGCGCGGUUUGCCCUCAUUCUUCUCUUCUUUCUUUAUUAGUUCAGUCUCUACAGCACGUCUGCAUGAUCUUGAGCAGUUUAAGCUCCUUCACAGCUCUGUUAUGGCGAAUGUUCAAACCAGGAUUCUUCAUCUGGAUCUCUCUAUCAUCAUUAUUUUCCUGAUUCAUGCAGAUUAUUCAAAAUCUAAUCAAGAGAAAAGGAUUCAGCAGCACAUCAACAAAACAGUGUUUGUGGGGGAAACAGUUACACUUCACUGCAACAAAACCCAACUUGAUGAUGAUUUCACAUGGAAAAUGAACAGCUUCGUUAUUUUUAGGCAGGACUCUGAAAGAAACAGAACAAUGACAAACUUCAGCUCAAACAGGAUUCACAUCGACCCCGCAGCUCCAAGAGAAUUAACAAUACAUCAAAUACAAGCGUCUGAUGCAGGAAACUACAGCUGUUACCCAGCAGCAAUAAGAUGGACAUUAACAAUAACAGAAAUCCAGAUCAGACCAGAAUCACUCAAACAAAUGUCGCUGAACAUCAUCAUCAUCAUCAUCUCAUGUUCUGGAGUCAUUAUGAUCUGUUUUAUCAUCACCAUCAGCAUCUGCAUUCACAGGAAACUGAGACAGAAGAUCAGCUCUGGUUCAGAGGAUGUGAAGAUGAUCUCUGACUGUGACAAACACACAGUAACAGCCUGUGUAAGUCAGUUGAACUCCACACACCUCCAUCAUGUUUACCACAUCAUGUCUGUCCCUGGCCCCCAACAAACAUCACUGACUCACUUCUUGAUGGAAACAUGUUGUGCAAUCAAACUACUGCUCUGUAAAAAUCACUUUUGUUCCAUCCAAUUGAGACUGUGUCAUUUUAACAGCUAUAAAUAUAUAUUAUAUUUAUAAACAGCACAGCAGAUAUUUGAACAAGAGCUGAAAUGUCUGUUGUUUUUGUUUCACUUGUUUUGUCUUUGUUUUCUUCAGGUCUACAGUCUUCAUACAGUUUCAUGAACAUCUUUUCUUCUCAAGACAGCAGUGUGUGUGUCUGACAAUUUAUAGAAGCAGAUUAAUCUCAAAUAUAAUUCACGCAAAAAACACGAUUCACACAUGCGUAGACAAUUUCACAUGCAUGAAACCUAAUUCACAUACACACAAAAAAAAUUCACGUGCGUGAAAAAAAAUAUAUAUUCACAAAAAGCAAUUCACAUGCGCAAAAUAAAAUUAUAUAUUCAUAAAAUACAUUUCACAAAUGCAAAACACAAUUCGUAGAUAUACAACUGUGCACAAAAACCUUUGAAUGUUUAAAAUGUACGAGUGUCUGAAUGUACAUGGCUUAUGAUAUGAUUGGUUGAAUGGUAAGCUCGCAUCUGAUUGGCUAAAGAGUACGACAGACCCACGUGGGAAGAGAGCUCUGCCAGGAAAGUCUCAAAAACACACACACACAAAUCCGAGUGGAUUCGUAGUAAAUGACGAUUUGUACAUUCAGACUACUCGUACAUUUUAAACAUUCAAAGGUUUUUGUGUCACAGUUGUACAUCUACGAAUUGUGUUUUGCUAUUUGUGAAAUGUAUUUUAUGAAUAUAUAAUUUUAUUUUGCGCAUGUGAAUUGCUUUUUGUGAAUAUAUUUUUUUUUCACGCACGUGAAUUUUUUUUUGUGUGUAUGUGAAUUAGGUUUCAUGCAUGUGAAAUUGUCUACGCAUGUGUGAAUCGUGUUUUUUUGCGUGAAUUAUAUUUGAGACUAAUCUGCUUCCAUAGACACUCAUCAGAUGAGCAUCUCAAUACAGGAAGAUGUUUGAGAACGAGACCAUUACAAUAAUAAAUACAGUCUCAGAGGAUCUGUAUGUGAAUGUGUAUUUGCCUCUAAAAUGCUGUUUGCUUAUUUGAUUUAAAAUAUCUACCAAAUAAUUUCACUUUAAUUUUCAGACAGAGGAAUAUGAGUUAUAAACUUUGAUAUGGCCAACUAUAGAUACAACAUCAUUUACCAUUAUCAAAUAAACAACUGACAGAUUUCAUAGAAAGUCACAAAGUGUAUGAUGGUCACAGACUCUGAUUUUUUAGCUUCAAACAAUGAAUCCAUCCAGUUGGAGGAUAUCAAAUAUGAUUGAAAUGUUAAACUGAUUUUAGAACACUUUUUUUUCUUUUUCAUUUAUCGCACAUCUCAGCAACAAGGCAUAUAUUUCUGUGUGACUUUGUCAUGUUCGGAGUGACUUGAAAGUCUGGUAGUGUAUCAUCAAGUUGUUUAGUGUGUUUUUUGCCUGUAACUAUUUACAAAGUAAGCAAAUGUACGAUGGCUAGUAUUUUAAAAUCUGUCCAGAUUUUAAAAAUUGUGUAUAGAGUAAUCCAGUCUUUAGUUAAUGCAAUACAAUAUUAACACCAAACAUUUACUGAAAUUGACAGCACCUUUUAGCUGUAAUUGAAUUAAGUCAGCAGCAAAUAAAAAAAAAAAAAAUACUAAAAAGUAAAAAAGUUUAACCGGUUUGUCAAUAGUGUCAAUAGUGAAAAAUAGCAUCGAUUCGCUACAGGAGGGCCUUUGUUCACCCCCACGAGCCGUGUGAGACAGGUCUUUUGGACUGAUGCACUGCAACACCCGCUGACUGCAAUGAUAGAUCUUGAAAGAUCAAAAGGCAAUUUUUUAAUAUAACCCCCGACUGGAUUCAUCUGAAAAGAAGAAAGUCAUAUACACCUAGGAUUCCUCGGGGGUGAGUAAAACAGCCUAAUUUUAAUUUUUGGGUGAACUAACCCUUUAAUGCUGAACAGGGUUGGCAGGUUUUUACAAGAAAACCCGCCCAAUCACUACUCAAACUAGCCCAAAACUAGCCCAACCGCCUUUCAAGGGGGUCACCAGUUAAAAAUCGCGUUCUGUGGGGUAAAAUACACAUUUGUUUUGGCAGGGUCCACCUGCUAAUAUUCGCAUUCCAGGGGAUAAAUAUCAUGUUAUUGGAGUCGCUUCAAACCCACGGACAUGAAAAACAACCCGCGGCAACAGUGUUAAAGUAGCCCAAUUCUGCGGGAAAACCACAGACUUGGCAACACUGAUGCUGAAGGAAGCAUUUUGUAGUUACAUGUACACAAAAAAAUAAGUUGCAUGCUGCAGUUCACCUAACGGCCUCCUGUGUCACUAAAAACAAGCGUCUCUCUAUUAUGCUUAUAUUCUCUUUAGCCUCUUUUUCUUACCAGCACAUUCAAAAUGUCUUCAAUUAUUCAUGAUAAUGAGCAUGUGCAUGAAAGAAGUUCCUGUUAGGACAGAAAUCAAUUCUUAGAUGAUAAAACUAGAAAAAAUCAAAUACAUAGGCCAACUACAUCUUUUUUGGUUUUUAUUGUUCAAACAUUUGGUCUCACCAAUGUUGUGUGUAUUCAUUUUGAAUAAUGUUACAUCAUAAACUCAUAGUUAACCAAACAAUAAAGAUGUAGAUAUCAUUUUGCAAUUCUGAGGAAUGCCCAUAAAUUCAUUGAAUCUCAUUGUAUAUGUGGAUGUGUGACAAUUAUGACAAUUAUUGAGGCAAGUGUUGAGGAGUUGACAUUGGCCUUCAUGCAGUUCCUCAAUGUUGAACAUAUGUGAGGUAAAUGUAAUUUGAUGGGUUGUAAUAGUGCACAUCAGAAAUACAGCAAUAAACAUAAAAUGAUGUUUAGUUACCCAGAUACAAUACUCAUACACAUUACAUAGACAUAAGCUAAACAUUUACAGUAAUGUUCUGAAUGAUACUAUAAGAUAAGCAACUUAUCAAGGCACAUCACAAGUAAUGAGACAACUACAACAAUUUUUUAUACCAGAGGUUAUAACAGACCAGAGCAAUAUAGAGAAAUAUACAUAUAAACCCAGUAAACAUGGUAGGCAGUGACAGGAUGUAACAGUUCUGCGGUGGAAAAUGUGCUCUGUGGUUUCACUGGUCACUGCAGACAAAAGCACAAAACUAAACAUAUUUCUACAUCUUACCUUACCAUCCGUUAUAUAUAAGUAUUGUAUUUAGAUGACCUGUGUUUGCAUUCACACUUUGAAUAGUUGAUAUUCAGAUUUUUUUUUUUUUUUUUAGGUAGCAUUACAACUUUUGUUUGUAAAUAUGUGGACAUGAUCAAUGCAAACUAUAUUCUGUGUAACUGACCAAGUGAUUUUUAUGCUGUGUAACUGACCAAGUGAUUUUUAUGUCCAAUACUCUUCUAUUGUAUAAAAGUGUAUUCUCAUCUGCUGUCUUAGGCAUUGCCCUCUGUCUUCAUCUCUUCCUUUACUAGUUCAGUCUCUACAGCACGUCUGCAAGCCUUCGCGAUCCUGGGCGGAGAGUAAAACAGUUUACACUCCUUCACAGCCCUUAAACUGAGUGUCCUGUUAUGGCCAGUUUUCAGACCAGGAUUCUUCGUCUGCAUCUCUGUGUUGUUAUUAUUCUCCUGACUCAUGCAGGUACUCUUCACUUGUUUUUGCAUUCUGAGAAAUGUGAGUUGAUAUGGCUAUAAAUUUAGCAUAGUUUGAUUACUAAUAAUAUUGUUUACCAAUUUACAAUUUAAUGCAGAUGUUGAAAAUGUUGUGUUUGUAUUCUAAUGUGUUUUGUUUAAAAGAUUAAACACCACAUGAACAAUGUAUUAUGUGUCUAAUGAGCUUUUGCAUGUUUGCUGUUUUCUACUGCACAUUUUUUACCAUCCAGUGAAAUUACUGUAAACCUGCAGUGAUUGUGAUUUUCUGUGUCUUUUCAUCAGAUUAUUCAAAAUCUAAUCAAGAGCAAUGGAUUCAGCAGCACAUCAACAAAACAGUGUUUGUGGGGGAAACAGUUACACUUCACUGCAACAAAACCCAACUUGAUGAUGAUUUCACAUGGAAAAUUAACAACUCGGUUAUUUUUAGGCAGGUCUCUUAUUUUAACAUAACUAAGACAAACUUCAGCUCCAACAGGAUUCACAUCGACCCCGCAGCUCCAAGAGAAUUAACAAUACAUCAAAUACAAGCGUCUGAUGCAGGCCUUCGCGAUCCUGGGCGGAGAGUAAAACAGUUUACACUCCUUCACAGCCCUUAAACUGAGUGUCCUGUUAUGGCCAGUUUUCAGACCAGGAUUCUUCGUCUGCAUCUCUGUGUUGUUAUUAUUCUCCUGACUCAUGCAGGUACUCUUCACUUGUUUUUGCAUUCUGAGAAAUGUGAGUUGAUAUGGCUAUAAAUUUAGCAUAGUUUGAUUACUAAUAAUAUUGUUUACCAAUUUACAAUUUAAUGCAGAUGUUGAAAAUGUUGUGUUUGUAUU